rnacentral:rRNA from 1 species
AUUGAACGCUGGCGGCAUGCUUUACACAUGCAAGUCGAACGGCAGCGCGGGGCAACCUGGCGGCGAGUGGCGAACGGGUGAGUAAUAUAUCGGAACGUACCCAGAAGUGGGGGAUAACGUAGCGAAAGUUACGCUAAUACCGCAUACGAUCUACGGAUGAAAGUGGGGGACCUUCGGGCCUCAUGCUUGUGGAGCGGCCGAUAUCUGAUUAGCUAGUUGGUGAGGUAAAGGCUCACCAAGGCGACGAUCAGGAGCUGGUCUGAGAGGACGACCAGCCACACUGGGACUGAGACACGGCCCAGACUCCUACGGGAGGCAGCAGUGGGGAAUUUUGGACAAUGGGCGCAAGCCUGAUCCAGCAAUGCCGCGUGAGUGAAGAAGGCCUUCGGGUUGUAAAGCUCUUUUGUCAGGGAAGAAACGGGACUGGUUAAUACCUGGUCCUAAUGACGGUACCUGAAGAAUAAGCACCGGCUAACUACGUGCCAGCCGCCGCGGUAAAAC